rnacentral:rRNA from 1 species
UAAGACGAACCGUGCAAACGUUGUUCGGAAUCACUGGGCUUAAAGGGCGCGUAGGCGGGUUAUCAAGUCCGGGGUGAAAGCCCCCAGCUUAACUGGGGAAGUGCCUUGGAUACUGGUAAUCUUGAGGGAGGUAGGGGCAUGCGGAACUUCCGGUGGAGCGGUGAAAUGCGUAGAUAUCGGAAGGAACGCCGGUGGCGAAAGCGGCGUGCUGGACCUCUUCUGACGCUGAGGCGCGAAAGCCAGGGGAGCAAACGGGAUUAGAUACCCCGGUAGUCCUGGCCCUAAACGAUGGGUACUAGGUUGUGGACUAACAUGGGUUCACAGCCGAAGCAAAAGUGUUAAGUACCCCGCCUGGGGAGUAUGGUCGCAAGGCUG